UCCUGGCUCAGAUUGAACGCUGGCGGAAUGCUUACACAUGCAAGUCGAACGGUAGAGGGGCAACCCUUGAGAGUGGCGAACGGGUGAGUAAUAUAUCGGAACGUGCCAGUCGUGGGGAUAACGUAGCGAAAGUUACGCUAAUACCGCAUACGAUCUAAGGAUGAAAGCGGGGGACUCGCAAGAGCCUCGCGCGAUUGGAGCGGCCGAUAUCAGAUUAGCUAGUUGGUGGGGUAAAGGCCCACCAAGGCGACGAUCUGUAGCUGGUCUGAGAGGACGACCAGCCACACUGGAACUGAGACACGGUCCAGACUCCUACGGGAGGCAGCAGUGGGGAAUUUUGGACAAUGGGCGCAAGCCUGAUCCAGCAAUGCCGCGUGCAGGAUGAAGGCCUUCGGGUUGUAAACUGCUUUUGUACGGAACGAAACGGCCCUUUCUAAUACAAGGGGCUAAUGACGGUACCGUAAGAAUAAGCACCGGCUAACUACGUG
rnacentral:rRNA from 1 species